UACAGAGGGUGCAAGCGUUAAUCGGAUUUACUGGGCGUAAAGCGUGCGUAGGCGGUUCAUUAAGUCGGUUGUGAAAUCCCUGGGCUUAACCUGGGAACUGCAGUCGAUACCGGUGGACUAGAGUACGGUAGAGGGUGGCGGAACUCCGGGUGUAGCGGUGAAAUGCGUAGAUAUCCGGAAGAACACCGAUGGCGAAGGCAACCACCUGGGCCUGUACUGACGCUGAGGUACGAAAGCGUGGGGAGCAAACAGG
rnacentral:rRNA from 1 species